CAGUCGCCACGGGAAUACAGAGGGUGCGAGCGUUAAUCGGAUUUACUGGGCGUAAAGCGUGCGUAGGCGGCUUCUUAAGUCGGAUGUGAAAUCCCUGAGCUUAACUUAGGAAUUGCAUUCGAUACUGGGAAGCUAGAGUAUGGGAGAGGAUGGUAGAAUUCCAGGUGUAGCGGUGAAAUUCGUAGAGAUCUGGAGGAAUACCGAUGGCGAAGGCAGCCAUCUGGCCUAAUACUGACGCUGAGGUACGAAAGCAUGGGGAGCAAACAGGAUUAGAUACCCGAGUAGUCCCUGUCUCUUAUAC
rnacentral:rRNA from 1 species